GGCGGGGUAGCUCAGUUGGUGAGAGCGCAGGAUUCAUAACCCUGAGGUCGGCAGUUCGACUCUGCCUCCCGCUA
rnacentral:tRNA from 1 species